rnacentral:tRNA from 1 species
GUCCCUUUCGUCUAGGGGUGUAGGACAUCGGCUUUUCAUGUCGAAGACACGGGUUCAAAUCCCGUAAGGGAUA